rnacentral:rRNA from 1 species
GACAGAGGUCCCAAGCGUUAGGCGGAAUCACUGGGCUUAAAGCGUGUGUAGGCGGAUUUGUAAGUACCUUGUGAAAUCCCACGGCUCAACCGUGGAACUGCUUGGUAUACUGCUUAUCUUGGGCCAUCUAGGGGCGAGCGGAACAAACGGUGGAGCGGUGAAAUGCGUAGAUAUCGUUUGGAACGCCAAUGGUGAAAACAGCUCGCUGGGGAUGUGCUGACGCUGAGACACGAAAGCCAGGGGAGCAAACGGG